rnacentral:misc_RNA from 1 species
UCCGGUUUGUCACCGGCAGUCUCAUUAGAGUGCCCAACUGAAUGUAGCAACUAAUGACAAGGGUUGCGCUCGUUGCGGGACUUAACCCAACAUCUCACGACACGAGCUGACGACAGCCAUGCAGCACCUGUGUUCCCCCCAGCCGAACUGAAGGACUCCUUUUCGGGAAUCCAAAAGGGACAUGUCAAACCCUGGUAAGGUUCUUCGCGUUGCCUCGAAUUAAACCACAUGUUCCACCGCUUGUGCGGGUCCCCGUCAAUUUCUUUGAGUUUUAAUCUUGCGACCGUACUCCCCAGGCGGGGUGCUUAACGCGUUAGCUACGCUACUCAGGGGGAACCCCCGAACAGCUAGCACCCAUCGUUUACAGCGUGGACUAC